rnacentral:rRNA from 1 species
GAUGAACGCUGGCGGCGUGCCUAAUACAUGCAAGUCGAGCGAACAGACGAGGAGCUUGCUCCUCUGACGUUAGCGGCGGACGGGUGAGUAACACGUGGAUAACCUACCUAUAAGACUGGGAUAACUUCGGGAAACCGGAGCUAAUACCGGAUAAUAUAUUGAACCGCAUGGUUCAAUAGUGAAAGACGGUUUUGCUGUCACUUAUAGAUGGAUCCGCGCCGCAUUAGCUAGUUGGUAAAGUAACGGCUUACCAAGGCAACGAUGCGUAGCCGACCUGAGAGGGUGAUCGGCCACACUGGAACUGAGACACGGUCCAGACUCCUACGGGAGGCAGCAGUAGGGAAUCUGCCGCAAUGGGCGAAAGCCUGACGGAGCAACGCCGCGUGAGUGAUGAAGGUCUUCGGAUCGUAAAACGCUGUUAUUAGGGAAGAACAAAUGUGUAAGUAACUAUGCACGUCUUGACGGUACCGAAUCAGAAAGCCACGGCUAACUACGU